rnacentral:rRNA from 1 species
ACGGGAGGCAGCAGUGGGGAAUAUUGGGCAAUGGGGGCAACCCUGACCCAGCAACGCCGCGUGAAGGAAGAAGGUCCUCGGAUUGUAAACUUCUUUUAUAAGGGACGAAGAAAGUGACGGUACCUUAUGAAUAAGCCACGGCUAACUACGUGCCAGCAGCCGCGGUAAUACGUAGGUGGCAAGCGUUAUCCGGAUUUACUGGGUGUAAAGGGCGCGUAGGCGGGGAUGCAAGUCAGAUGUGAAAUCUAUGGGCUCAACGCAUAAACUGCAUUUGAAACUGGAUCUCUUGAGUGCUUGAGAGGUAGAUGGAAUUCCUUGUGUAGCGGUGAAAUGCGUAGAUAUAAGGAAGAACACCAGUGGCGAAGGCGAUCUACUGGACAGCAACUGACGCUGAGGCGCGAGAGCGUGGGGAGCAAACAGGAUUAGAUACCCUGGUA